AAGUCGUAACAAGGUUUCCGUAGGUGAACCUGCGGAAGGAUCAUUAACAAAUCAAGUGUGCUUGCACACAUUAAUCUAUGUGAAUUGUCAAUCUCUUCUUAAAAAAAAGAGAUUGAAGGAUCUUGAUUAGUAGAAUUUUUUUUUAUUAAAACUUUUACUAAUCAAAAAACAAACGUCUAAUUAAAUGACUGAGUCCCAAAAUAAUAAUAAAAAAAUAUAACUUUUAACAAUGGAUCUCUUGGCUCUU
rnacentral:misc_RNA from 1 species